rnacentral:snRNA from 1 species
CAGCUGAAACAAUACAGAGUAGAUUAGUGUGGUCCUUAUGCAAUGGUGAUAGACAACAUUGUCAAAUGUUUCAUAUGUUU